rnacentral:rRNA from 1 species
CCUACGGGGGACAGCAGUGGGGAAUAUUGGGCAAUGGAGGAAACUCUGACCCAGCAACGCCGCGUGAAUGAUGAAGGUCCUCGGAUUGUAAAGCUCUUUUCUAAGGGAAGUAGAAAGUGACGGUACCUCAGGUAUAAGUCUCGUCUAACUACGUGCCAGCAGUCGCGGCAAUACGUAGGAGGCGAGCGUUAUCCGGAUUGACUGGGCGUAAAGGGUGCGUAGGUGGUUUGGCAAGUUAGUAGCGUAACUCCAAGGCUCAACCUUGGAACUACUACUAAAACUGUUAGACUUGAGUACAGGUGGGGCAGGCGGAAUUCGUAGUGUAGCGGUGGAAUGCGUAGAUAUUAGGAAGAACACCGAUGGCGAAGGCAGGUUACUAAACUGUAACUGACACUGAGGCACGAAAGCGUGGGGAGCAAACAGGAUUAGAUACCCCUGUAGUC